CCAGGGUAUUGGCUCAGUCUGAAACCUCACUUCUCAUAUCGUGUUGGCACCAUUAGUGUCCUUUUCUAUAAUGAGAUCCAGUGUCCACCUACAAAAGGAAGUCCAAAGUAAAAUAUUAGACUUGUGUGCAUUUCAGAAAAAAACUAAUCAACUUAAGCACAACCAGAAAACUUACAAAAAGUUUCCAUUUUAUUAUCUGGAACCUUCCCUCCAAGGACUUGGAGUGAUACAUUGUCAGUAAGUACAUGUACAUCUCUAUACCAUCCAACCUCAGCUUGUAAAGAGAUACUACAUUAAUUCAAUUACAGUAGUCAAUCUCUUAAGGAAAAGAGAAAUAUUAGGAGCAUUGAAUUCCAAUUAACGUGGUGACCGAUUAUAAGGUAACAGGAAACUUUUUUCCUAAAUCAGAAUGAGAAUUUUUUAAAAUAAUGGAGGUGGACCAAAACAGUGACAAAUGAGGAACCCAAUUACUUGGCUCCCGGUUAGGUUUUCGGUUUGUGAAAUAGGGUUUCUAUAAGAAAGAGGAGAGGAUGAUGCCAGCCUGACUGCCUAAAAAGAACUACGUUGCUUUGUUUAAAAGGACUAUUAACCAUAAGUUUUGUCAAUGCAACUUUCUGUCCCCAAACACACACUGCAAACCACCUGGGUUGUCAGAAAUGGCAAUGGCAGGACCAGAACUUCUUAGGGUAGCUGUCUGGUUGGGAUAUGGUGGGCUUGAAGCUGCAUUUGUACAGCUCACCAUAUUCAAGGGCAUGUUUAUUUGGCACCAUCUUUGACACCAUUACUGCCGAUUUCUGCAUUGGCCGAGUGCCCUAUUGUUUUGUCAGAGCAGCCUUCCUCUCCACUCAACAGUGGGCUCGUGCCCAGAUGAGCUUUGUUAGGUGCCUAACAGACCCCUUGAGUAAUGUGGCUACCCCUCCUCCCCACCAGACUGGCCUCUGUCUGUCCUGGCCCAGUGUGAGCAGCCCUCUCCCUCCCCAACUCUAGGCAUGACUUCCAGCACAUCUUGGACUUUUCUAAAUUAGCCCUGAUUGCUGAGGAAAGUAGGAAAAGAUGCUGGGGCCAAACGUUUGAUCUCUGCUGGUCACUUGAGGACCAUUGUUGACUGAGCCUGUUCAAACACAUGCAUCAAACAGAAAUUAAAUCCGGAGUUUAAGGAUAAAAGUAGCAGAAGAAUAUUUUAAAAUACCAUUUGCUUUCUCCCUCUAGGUCUCCCUUUCCCUUCCCUUUUAAAUGGGCUCUUCCUCCCCACAGGGAGAUUUGUUAAUAGGCUCCCAAAAGUCCAAUAGGGGACUGAGAAACUCAAAUGACAGCAGGCAGGUCACACACGUGAUUAAAGUGGGCUGGAUAUAAGACAAGAAGGAGUGGUGUGGACAGCACCUGCUUCCCCAGUGGGAGCCAGCUGGUACUCAGCUCUGAUUGUUGCCACAUACAGAAAUGGGGACUGAGUGUUGGCAGAUGUUCUGAUAUUUUCAAGAGAAGCUCAAAAUCUGGAUUUUUUUUUUUUAAUGUGAAAUUUCUGGAUGUUUGUACUUGGCAACUAAUUUUAAAAUUGUAAAAGAAAACGUGUGCAGGUCAAAUGCAGUGUACCAGCUGCAUCAGUCCACGGGUUUAGCAUAUGUGACUUCUGUCUCAAAUUCACUGGGGAAUACAGAAUGAUAUAUUUCCCUCAGUGUCUCUGGAAUCAUUCAAGGAAGGAGAGAGGCCUGCAGUCCCCGGAAGGAUAGGGACCUACUUCCACGUCAUAUCUCUGACUCAACAGCCCUCAGGGUGUCCUGAGGCUUGCCAUACACCUCUGUGUCCCAUGAGUAAUGUGGAGCAGCUGAGCUAGAGACUCAAGGGUGCAGUAAUGGUCAUCUCAGUGUUAGCCAGCUCGGGCAGGAGCAGAGGGAGCUCCCAAAAUCAGAUGCUGCAUAUAACCCCAGAACAGGGCAUGGAAGGUGAGCCCUAAGAAUGUCUGAGUUGAACUUGCUUCUAGGGGAGAAGUGAAAUUACAUGUUGAAUGUCUGUCUCUCCUCCCCACAGGGGUAGACACCUUGUUUGGCUCACUCAGCGACUAGUGCCUGGCACAGUGACCAGCACACAUUGGGGUUGCAUUUUAUAAGAAUUUUGCAGAUGAGAAAUAAUGAGAUAUAAACUAAUAGAAUGUCACUUUCGGCACAAAAUUUAAGUCAUAUAUACCGCCCACCCCCCAAUUAACAAUUCAUUAACGAUUGCAUCAUGUCUAAGUUAGCAGGGUCACACGAAUUGUGAACACUGGAAAUGGUGCUAAGUAGAGGAGUAAAUUAAGGAGGACUCUUCGAGCUGGGGCAGCUGGGAGAAUGAUUAUGGGGCUCUGUAAGGGGAGGGGGGAAUGCUGAGCAUUGAAUGAGAUAUCGUGAAUGUAUUUUCUCUAGAGCAAGGCCUUCCUAUCUAGUCUUUGUUUACUGCUUAGUACCGGGAUACAUAAAAUUGGGUACUAAUACCCAUUCAGUGACUAUAGUUACUUAGUGACUAUCAAAGUGCACCUCAAAGCAGGUUAUCUGAGUUGUAGCAGUGACCAUGGUUUGGAAUUCUCAUUGGAGAAGGAUAAGGUCCCAAAUUCCCUUAGGUUGUUGGGAGCAAACCAGCUCCCCACACCAGGGCCCACUGAAACCUUCCCCAUGCCCACUCUUCCCCAAUGGUGCUGUGUGGCUCCAGCUUCCCAGGGCAGAGAGUGAAACAUAAAAGCUGCUCCCCGCACCUAGCAAGGGUUUGAAGGGAAGGUCAUAGAGCAGAGGAGCCACCUGAUUUCAGCAUCUAGAAGUCUGAUAUGUGCCCUCCCAGAAGCAAUGUGGCUGUCAGGGUGGGCCCAAGAAUGGAGGUUGAUGAUAAACCCAUACAAUACCCUCAACUCAUUUACAUUUAUCAAAAUUCCUUCCCAAUGCUUUUCCAACCACUAAAGGGAUACCCCUUACCUAUGAUCUUGGAAUCACUGGAAACUUUGACAGGCUCAGUUGCUUGGAUAAUCAAUAGCUUGCUUAAAUCUGAAGUUCCCUGAACCUAAAGGAGAAAAGUCCAAAUUGGUCAAAAGUGCAUUCUUUGAUCUCUAAGCUGGCUGCUUCCUAAACUUUCCAAAGAAUAUUAGAAAUAAGCCAAAAACCUUCAACCUAAACUCUUUCUCAUUUCAAAUCCUCUUUAACGUUGCUUCAAAAAGCCUUGUACCAGCAAAUUAUUUUUGGCAUAUUUAUAGACAUCAGGAAUUUUCUGCACAUUACUUGUAACUGGACUGGAAAUUCUCAGUUUAAAACAGAAAACCCAUAAUCCACUGAGUUACUUUUACUCCUUUGAAAUACAAGGGCUCAGGACCCAGCCUUCCCACGUAGCAGGAUGGUCUUCUUAGAGUUUUUGCCCACAAAAUCUGCCCUCCCAGAAUGCAAGUAGUGGAAAAGUAACAAUAACUAUCAUUUCUAGGGAGAACCAAGAUGGUGGUGUAGGCAAAUGCCUGUACUCGCUGCCUCCCACAACCACAUCAAAAUUGCAACUAAAAUACAGAACAACCAUCAUCCAGAACUGCCGGAAAGCUGGCUGAAUGGAAGGCCUACAACUAGAGAAGUAAAGAAGAAAGCACACGGAGACUGGUAGGAGGGACGGCCAGAAGACAUCAAAGCCCUCAUAUAAAUCCUCCAGGGAGAUGAAGCAGGCCUGAAAUGACAAGAUGUCAUGCAGCAAGCUCAGUUUGGAACUAAAUUACAAGACCAUCAGAAAACAAGAUGCCUGUCACUUUCAUCUUUAUCAAACUCCACCAUUUAAAAGCACUGUAUUAUUGGAGAGGUUGUUUUUUUAUGUAUAAGGCAAUACAAUUUAUAGUCCAAUUAAAGCUAUGGACUUACUAGUAGGCCAGGAAAAUCAAUACCAGUCAAUAGCUAAGAUAAGGAUAUGGCUCAUGAGCCCAGGAUCCAGGAACUAAGCCACAUGAGUUACCUAUUUUUAUUGCCACAGUAGAUAAAGUGGGCUCAUGUAAAGUCUGUUUCCAGAGGCGAAAGGCUUCCCUGCAUAAGGAAGACUACACUUCCAGAAUUCACGCUACAUGAACUUCAGUCAAUUCAAUUCAGUUUUGUGACUAAAUUCAUGCCUCCUAUCCUCUUCCAGAAAUGAAAUGGUAUGAAACUGAUACAGCAACACUCCCUCUAUGCCACACACCCCUGGGACUGGUCCCUCUCGAUUGCAUCAGAGUCCCAAAAGCUUGAGAAUUCUGUGUAAGCAGAAACUUUGGCUCUCUUCUAUUUGA